GGUGGAGCAUGUGGUUUAAUUCGAAGCAACGCGCAGAACCUUACCUACCCUUGACAUGUCCAGUAUGGUCUCCGGAGACGGGGACCUUCAGUUCGGCUGGCUGGAACACAGGUGCUGCAUGGCUGUCGUCAGCUCGUGACGUGAGAUGUUGGGUUAAGUCCCGCAACGAGCGCAACCCUCGCUUCUAGUCGCCAUCAUUCAGUUGGGCACUCUAGAGGGACUGCCGGUGAUAAGCCGGAGGAAGGUGGGGAUGACGUCAAGUCCUCAUGGCCCUUACGGGUAGGGCUACACACGUGCUACAAUGGCGGUGACAGUGGGCAGCGACACAGUGAUGUGAUGCUAAUCCCAAAAAGCCGUCUCAGUUCAGAUUGCAGCCUGCAACUCGGCUGCAUGAAGUUGGAAUCGCUAGUAAUCGCUAAUCAGCAGGUAGCGGUGAAUACGUUCCCGGGCCUUGUACACACCGCCCGUCACACCAUGGGAGUUGUCAUACACUGAAGACGGUG
rnacentral:rRNA from 1 species